UACCAGCACCCCGAGUGGUCGGGACGAUUAUUGGGCCUAAAGCAUCCGUAGCCGGUUCUACAAGUCUUCCGUUAAAUCCACCUGCUUAACAGAUGGGCUGCGGAGGAUACUACAAGGCUAGGAGGCGGAAGAGGCAAGCGGUACUCAGUGGGUAGGGGUAAAAUCCUGUAAUCCUCCGGGGAGGACCAGUGGCGAAGGCGUCACGCUAGAACGGCUCCGACAGUGAGGGACGAAGCCCUGGGGCGCAAACCGG
rnacentral:rRNA from 1 species